AUUGAACGCUGGCGGCAUGCUUUACACAUGCAAGUCGAACGGCAGCGCGGGCUUCGGCCUGGCGGCGAGUGGAGAACGGGUGAGUAAUGCAACGGAACGGGCCCAGUAGUGGGGGAUAGCCCGGGGAACGCCGGAUUAAUACCGAAUACGACCUGUGGGUGAAAGCGGGGGGCGGAAAGGCCUUGGGCUAUGGGAGCGGCCGAGGGCGGAUGAGCUGGUUGGUGGGGUAAAGGCUUACCAAGGCGACGAUCGGUAGCUGGCCUGGGAGGAUGACCGGCCACACUGGGACUGAGACACGGCCCAGACGCCUACGGGAGGCAGCAGUGGGGGAUAUUGGACAAUGGGGGGAAGCCUGAUCCAGCAACGCCGCGUGAGGGAUGACGGCCUUCGGGUUGUAAACCUCUUGCAGUACCGACGAAGCGCAAGUGACGGUAGGUACAGAAGAAGCACCGGCCAACUACGUG
rnacentral:rRNA from 1 species